rnacentral:rRNA from 2 species
GAAUUUUAUAAAUAUAUAUUUAAAUUUAUAAUUAUUAAUUUAAAAGUAUAUUUAUUUAAUUGGGAGGAUGAUUAAAUUUAAAAAACUUUAAUAAAAAUUUUAAAACAAAAAUUAAUGAAUUUUAGAAUAAAAUAAUUAAUAAAGUAGAAAUAAUUACCUUAGGGAUAACAGCAUAAUAUUUUUGGAAAGAUCAUAUUUAAAAAAAUGUUUGU